rnacentral:tRNA from 1 species
UCCCUCGAGCCGGAUUUGAACCAGCGACCUAAGGAUCACCGUUGUAACAUCUACAGUCCUCCGCUCUGUCAACUGAGCUAUCGAGGG